rnacentral:lncRNA from 1 species
GCAGCCGUGGCUGUCGGGGGGUGGGGGUGCGGGGAUGCCGAAAGUGGCAGUGGGGUCUCAUUCCAUAUCAGCCCCAUACCCACACCAUGCCUAUACCAUACUCAUCCCAAACCUAUACCAUUCCUACUCUAUACCUAUCUCAUUCCCAUCCCAUUCAUCACUGCAGCCGUGGCUGUCGGGGGGGGGGGGUGCGGGGAUGCCGAAAGUGGCAGUGGGGUCUCAUUCCAUAUCAGCCCCAUACCCACACCAUGCCUAUACCAUACUCAUCCCAAACCUAUACCAUUCCUACUCUAUACCUAUCUCAUUCCCAUCCCAUAGCCAUCCUAUACCCAUCCCAAAUCUAUACGAUACCCAUCCCAUACCCACACCACGUCUAUACCAUACCCAUCCCAAACCUAUACCAUACCCAUCCUAUACCUACCCUAUACCCAUACCGUACCCAUCCCACUAUUCUACCAUACCCGUACUAUUCCCACUACACUACCAUUCCAUACCUAUAUCAUACCUAUACCAUAGCCAUCCCAUAUCCAUCCCAUACCCAUAUCCAUCCCAUGCUUAUAUCAUACCUAUACCAUGCCUAUACCACAGCCAUCCCAUAGCCAUCCCAUCCCUAUACCAUACCCAUCCCUCAUCCUAUACCUAUACCAUACCCAUUCCAUCCCCAUUCUAUAUCCAUCCCAUACCCAUCCUAAACCCAUCCCAUACCUAUACCAUGCCUAUACCCAUACCAUACCCAUCUCAAACCUAUAGAAUACCCAUUCCAUACCUAUAUCAUACCUAUACCAUACCCAUCCUAUCUUCAUCCUAUAUCCAUCCCAUGUCCAUCCUAAAUCUAUACCAUACCCAUUCUAUACCCAUACCACAUCUAUACCAUACCCAUCCUAAACCCACACGCAUCCCAAUCUUAUAAUAUCCCAUAUCCAUCCCAUGCUUCUACCAUACCGAUACCAUGCCUAUACCAUAGCCGUCCCAUAGCCAUCCCAUCCCUAUACCAUACCCAUCCUAUACCCAUAUCGUACCCAUCCCAAACCUGUACCAUAGCCAUCCCAUCCCCAUCCAAUCCCAUAUCCAUCCCAUACCCAUACCAUAUCCAUCCCAAACCCGUAGCAUUCCCAUCGCACCCCCCUCCCACCUUCAUCUCACACCCCAACCUAUAGCACAGCCCCCCGUACACCCCCAUACCCC